rnacentral:lncRNA from 1 species
AGGCUAAUUGUUCAUCAAGUUGAAUGUCUGUGGGUUGAAUUAUCUAUCUAAACUUAAAGUUUAAGCCGAGAUGUUUGAGGAGUUGAAUAAAAAUGUUAAACUAAAAGAGAGUUAGACGUUAAAAUUUUUAAUUAUAUUUCUUCUCCAAUCCCAUGUCGAGGACUCUUUUGUAUAUUUUUUUUGAAGGUUUACUAUUACAAGUAUACUUGUUUAAAAUAAUUAUAUCAUAAAAUUAAAUUAGUGUAAAACCAUACAUAUGAAUUGAAAAUGAGCAUACCUCCAAUUGAACUUGUAAUUAGCCAAUUUUGGCCUAAGCCUGAAGCAAGAAUAAAACGAAAGCAAUAAAACCCAUUACAUGUUGAAAUCCAAACCCAAACAACCAAUUACAUCAAACCCUAGCCCAAAUCCUAGCCCACUGUCCUAAAUUUUUUUUUCAGCAAACUAACCCUAGGGCUAGUCCCUAUUGUGGCUGCCGUUCCCACCAUUGGCCUCUCCACGCAUACUUAGCCACCUCGCACGCUAACCACCGCUCACCCAUGCCUCUGACACCUGCAGAAGAAGUGAAUGCAACAGAGACAAGGAAGAAAACGACAAAAAAUAUGAUUGAAUCGUCUUGUAAAUGGCUUUAAAAGCCAUAAUCUCACCUUUGUCAAUUUUUUACGAACACUUUACGAACGAAGAUUAAUAAAAAAAGAACGAACUUUUUUGAAGGUGCUUUGUUAUUUGCAUUUAAAUUUCUAUUUAUUUUAUUUUUUUCAUUUUAUUGUACAUGCGAAAGUAUAAAAAGUGAGAGGGGAAAACUUACUGGAAUCUCUCCGUAGAUCCGUCGUUGGAGAUUUCUUCUCCAUCGCCGAAAUCAAGCAUCAAAGGGGGCGGUGGUUUUCAUUUUUGCCUCUUUUUUUUUGAGACUUUAGCCUACAAAUAGGCUUUUAUUUUUUUUAAAAAAGGCAGAGGGCUAAAAACCCACAUUUUCUCGUUGCCGGCCGCCGGAUACGGUGGCGAUGGGACGGUGCCCUUUUUUGAAUGGCCAAACAAAGAGUUGAGAGGCAUGGGGGGCCUCUGUUUUUUUUUUAAACGGAAUGACAAAAAUGAAAGAAAAAAAACCAUUUGAUUUUUAUGCAGAUUUGAAACGGUGUUGUUUGGUUCUUGGGGGUGACCCAGGCGUUUUCCCUAAAGGGGAGAUUUUCGCGAUUAGUCCUUCCCUUUUGCAGCUCCAUUCGAU